GAACUUGAGAGUUUGAUCCUGGCUCAGAACGAACGCUGGCGGCAGGUCUUAGGCAUGCAAGUCGAACGGGUGAAGCAGAGCUUGCUCUGUGGAUCUAGUGGCGCACGAGUGAGUAACGCGUGGGAAACUGCCCACUACUGGGGAAUAACGUUUGGAAACGAACGCUAAUACCGCAUACGCCGGAAACGGGAAAGAUUUAUCGGUGGUGGAUGUGCCCGCGUUGGAUUAGCUUGUUGGUGGGGUAACGGCCUACCAAGGCGAUGAUCCAUAGCUGGUCUGAGAGGACGAUCAGCCACGCUGGAACUGAGACACGGUCCAGACUCCUACGGGAGGCAGCAGCUAAGAAUAUUGGGCAAUGGAGGAAACUCUGACCCAGCCAUGCCGCGUGAAUGAAGAAGGCCUUCGGGUUGUAAAGUUCUUUUAGUCGUGAAGAUGAUGACAGUAGCGACAGAAAAAGCACCGGCUAACUUCGUGCCAGCAGCCGCGGUAAUACGAAGGGUGCAAGCGUUGUUCGGAUUUACUGGGCGUAAAGCGUCCGUAGGUGGUUUGUUAAGUCAGGGGUGAAAUCCCGGGGCCCAACCCCGGAACUGCCUUUGAUACUGGCAAGCUGGAGCGUGAUAGAGGAAGAUGGAACAUCUGGUGUAGGGGUGAAAUCCGUAGAUAUCAGAUAGAACACCAAUGGCGAAGGCAGUCUUCUGGAUCAUCGCUGACACUGAGGGACGAAAGCGUGGGUAGCAAACAGAAUUAGAUACUCUGGUAGUCCACGCCCUAAACGAUGCAUGCUUGUUGUUGGUUUCCUUCGGGGGAUCAGUGACGUAGCUAACGCGUUAAGCAUGCCGCCUGGGGAGUACGAUCGCAAGAUUAAAACUUAAAGGAAUUGACGGGGACCCGCACAAGCGGUGGAGUAUGUUGUUUAAUUCGAUGCUACGCGAGAAACCUUACCGACCCUUGACAUCUUGGUCGCGACUUCCAGAGAUGGUUGUCUUCAAUUCGGUUGGACCAAAGACAGAUGCUGCAUGGCUGUCGUCAGCUCGUGUCGUGAGAUGUUAGGUUAAGUCCUGCAACGAGCGCAACCCACGCCCUAUGUUGCCAGCGGGUAAUGCCGGGAACUCUUAGGGGACUGCCCGCGUCAAGCGGGAGGAAGGUGUGGAUGACGUCAAGUCAUCAUGGUUCUUACGGGUCGGGCUACAAACGUACUACAAUGGCGUCAACAAUGGGUCGCAAUGCCGCAAGGCAAAGCCAAUCCUUAAAAGACGUCUCAGUUCGGAUUGUCCUCUGCAACUCGAGGGCAUGAAGCUGGAAUCGCUAGUAAUCGCUGAUCAGAAUGCAGCGGUGAAUACGUUCCCGGGUCUUGUACACACCGCCUGUCAAACCAUGAGAGUCGAUUUCACCCGAAGUCGGUAGUUUAACGUAAGAGGACGCCGCCUACGGUGGGGUUGGUGAUUGGGGUUAAGUCAUAACAAGGUAGCAGUACCGGAAGGUGCGGCUGGAUCACCUCCUUUAUA
rnacentral:rRNA from 1 species